rnacentral:rRNA from 1 species
GUGAGGAAUAUUGCGCAAUGGAGGCAACUCUGACGCAGCCAUGUCGCGUGCAGGAAGAAGGCGCUACGCGUUGUAAACUGCUUUUAACCGGGAAGAAACCCCAGGACGUGUCCUGGGUUGACGGUACCGGAGGAAUAAGCACCGGCUAACUUCGUGCCAGCAGCCGCGGUAAUACGAAGGGUGCAAGCGUUAUCCGGAUUCAUUGGGUUUAAAGGGUGCGUAGGCGGAGCGUUAAGUCAGUGGUGAAAUCCUGCAGCUUAACUGUAGACUUGCCAUUGAUACUGGCGCUCUUGAGUGCGCUUGAAGUGGGCGGAAUGUGCCGUGUAGCGGUGAAAUGCUUAGAUAUGGCACAGAACACCAAUUGCGAAGGCAGCUCACUAAGGCGAUACUGACGCUGAGGCACGAAAGCGUGGGGAUCGAACAGGAUUAGAUACCCGGGUAGUCC